rnacentral:lncRNA from 1 species
CUGUCCUGAACCCCUGGUAAUAGAAUUGUUUACCUUUGUACCAAGAAGGUUGGGAAAGCACCAAAAUCUGCAUGUGGUGUGUACCCAGGUAGACUUUGAGGGGUUCGUGCUGUGAGACCUAAAGCCCUUAUGAGAUUGUCCAAAACAAAAAACAUGUCAGCAGGGCCUAUGGUGAUUCCAUGUGUGCUAAAUGUGUUAGUGACAGGAUCAAGCAUGCUUUCCUUAUCAAGGAGCAGAAAAUCAUUGUGAAAGUGUUGAAAGCACAAGCAGGGAGUCAGAAAGCUAAAUAA